ACUCACUGAGAUGCUGGGGCUCAGAUAUCCCAGGCAAGAGGAAGUGGGGACUCAAACCAGCCAGGAGGAAGUGGGCAUUCCUGAGCAGGAAAGACCUUGGGCCCACUGGGGUCAAGAAGUAGCUAGAAAAAAAAAAAAAAGAAGUAGCUAGAGUAGUGAGAAGG
rnacentral:lncRNA from 1 species